CCUACGGGGGGCUGCAGUGGGGAAUAUUGGACAAUGGGGGGAACCCUGAUCCAGCCAUGCCGCGUGUGUGAAGAAGGCCCUCGGGUUGUAAAGCACUUUCAGUGAGGAAGAACGCCUGGUGGUUAAUACCCAUCAGGAAAGACAUCACUCACAGAAGAAGCACCGGCUAACUCCGUGCCAGCAGCCGCGGUAAUACGGAGGGUGCGAGCGUUAAUCGGAAUUACUGGGCGUAAAGCGCGCGUAGGUGGCUUGAUAAGCCGGUUGUGAAAGCCCCGGGCUCAACCUGGGAACGGCAUCCGGAACUGUCAAGCUAGAGUGCAGGAGAGGAAGGUAGAAUUGCCGGUGUAGCGGUGAAAUGCGUAGAGAUCGGGAGGAAUACCAGUGGCGAAGGCGGCCUUCUGGACUGACACUGACACUGAGGUGCGAAAGCGUGGGUAGCAAACAGGAUUAGAUACCCUAGUAGUC
rnacentral:rRNA from 1 species